rnacentral:rRNA from 1 species
AUUGAACGCUGGCGGCAUGCCUUACACAUGCAAGUCGAACGGCAGCACGGGUGCUUGCACCUGGUGGCGAGUGGCGAACGGGUGAGUAAUACAUCGGAACAUGUCCUGUAGUGGGGGAUAGCCCGGCGAAAGCCGGAUUAAUACCGCAUACGAUCUACGGAUGAAAGCGGGGGACCUUCGGGCCUCGCGCUAUGGGGUUGGCCGAUGGCUGAUUAGCUAGUUGGUGGGGUAAAGGCCUACCAAGGCGACGAUCAGUAGCUGGUCUGAGAGGACGACCAGCCACACUGGGACUGAGACACGGCCCAGACUCCUACGGGAGGCAGCAGUGGGGAAUUUUGGACAAUGGGCGAAAGCCUGAUCCAGCAAUGCCGCGUGUGUGAAGAAGGCCUUCGGGUUGUAAAGCACUUUUGUCCGGAAAGAAAUCCUUGGCUCUAAUACAGUCGGGGGAUGACGGUACCGGAAGAAUAAGCACCGGCUAACUACGUG